GAAACGGCUCUUUUCAGAGCCAUCAACAAAACGAUGACAUCUAGC
rfam:Helobdella robusta unplaced genomic scaffold HELROscaffold_389, whole genome shotgun sequence.